UACGGAGGAUCCGAGCGUUAUCCGGAUUUAUUGGGUUUAAAGGGAGCGUAGGCGGGUUGUUAAGUCAGUUGUGAAAGUUUGCGGCUCAACCGUAAAAUUGCAGUUGAUACUGGCAUCCUUGAGCACAGUAGAGGUAGGCGGAAUUCGUGGUGUAGCGGUGAAAUGCUUAGAUAUCACGAAGAACUCCGAUUGCGAAGGCAGCCUGCUGGACUGUAACUGACGCUGAUGCUCGAAAGUGUGGGUAUCAAACAGG
rnacentral:rRNA from 1 species